UUUAAAUUGAGAGUUUGAUCCUGGCUCAGGAUGAACGCUGGCGGCGUGCUUAACACAUGCAAGUCGAGCGAUGAAGUUUCCUUCGGGAAACGGAUUAGCGGCGGACGGGUGAGUAACACGUGGGUAACCUGCCUCAUAGAGUGGAAUAGCCUUCCGAAAGGAAGAUUAAUACCGCAUAACGUUGAAAGAUGGCAUCAUCAUUCAACCAAAGGAGCAAUCCGCUAUGAGAUGGACCCGCGGCGCAUUAGCUAGUUGGUGGGGUAACGGCCUACCAAGGCGACGAUGCGUAGCCGACCUGAGAGGGUGA
rnacentral:rRNA from 1 species